rnacentral:lncRNA from 1 species
GGUGGAGUCAGCACCCAGCUCCCUGGUCUUCCCAAGCCCAGGGCCAAGCUGAAUAACAGAUUUUGGCCAAAAUCCAACUUUGAGCCCAAGUGUUGCAGGGUUCCUACAAUCGGGUAGAAAUGACUGUGGUUUUACAUCUGGUUAGAAUCUGUGCCUGUCCCAGGAUGUUCCCCAGGGUUAAUGUCCCACUAUGAACAGUCACCUGUGGUGGGGGUGGAUGGGGGGGGGGAGAGGGGAGGGUGUCCCGUGAACAGCAGUCAUGUGUGACAACAGCUAGAAACACUGUGACACAGUGGGAUGUCUUAUUGAAUCAGACCUUCUAGAAAACCUGUGAGGGAAAUGGGCAUUUGGCAUAGCACUUAAGACAUCGUUGGGGACUCCUGUAUCCCGUAUCAGUGGGCCUGGGUUUGAAUUCUGGCUCCAUUCCCAAUUCCGGCUUCCUGCUAAAUGAGCCCGCUGAGAGACAGCAGGUGACAGGUCCUGUAGUUGGGGAGAGACCGGGAUGCAGUUCCUGGCUCCUGGCUUCAGCCUGGCCCAGGACCAGCUGUUGUGGGCCUUUGGGGGAGGGGACCAGCAGACAGAAGAUUUCUGUUUGUCUGUCUUUCUCUGAGUGUGUGUGUCUUUCUGUCUCUCUGCCUUUCAGAUACAUUUCAAAAAGAAGAAAUGCAGACAAGAAUACAUCGGCAUUGAUAUUUUAAAAACACGAAGGUGCAAGGCAGCAAUCCAAGCUCCCGGAGCUGUAGGAGAAAGGCAACCAGAGAAGCAGCGUGCAGGGUGGGGACCCCCACGUCCCGGGAUGUGCAUACUUCCUCGAUCCACACACAGCACGAGCCCGUGGCUGGGAUGCUGGCUCCGCAAGAGGGAGACAAGCACGUUUGUCAAGUGCCUUUCAGCAGUCGGCGGCGUCUGUUCCUUCGUUACCACCCAGGGACUCUGGGUAGCACAGCCCUCCUGUUCUAGUGCAGGGCUUCUGGUCCACGAAUGGGGCUCACUCCCAGAGAGUCCAGCUCAGCAGGGUUGGGUGGGACUCACAGAUCACACGUCUAACAAGCUGCAAGGUGGUGCUGAUGUCUCUGCUCCAGGGACCGCUCCACCACUUGGACUGUCCACUGUGAGGCCACCACGCUUGGAUCUGCCAGCUUCGCCCUGA